AUUCUGGAGACACAAACAGUCAGACCAUAAAGAGAUAAAGGCACUCUCUGACAUAUCACAAGAGAACACCAUCGCCUGCAACAUUUAUGGGCUCCUGUAGUACAGCAAAGGCAGUUCCCAAUGGAAGACGGUCAUCCUCCCGUGAGAAGCAAAAGUGCCUGACAAGUCAUGAGAUACCAAGUGCAGUGGCUCUUGGUAGAGAUGGAGAUACCUGGCAUGAAGACGUUGGAGUAGAAAAAGAAGAUAAGAAUCAAGGAAGGCACAUGGAAACUGAACACUACAUACAAAAUUCACUUCGGGGGCUACCAGAAAUAGUUGAGAGGACAGAGAAUCAACUUCAUAGAGGUCUAAAACCAAGGGAGGAAAAACCAGAAAAGUAUGUAUUUCAGCUCUCACAGGAGUGAGUUCCAUCUUGUGCAAUUAAUAUAUUUUGGAACCAAAAUUCUCUUGGGUUCUGAAAAGGAGGGGUUUAUUGGGGCAUAACCAAUAGUUAAGGAGGAUCUGUACUUCUUAUGAGAAAAUACAUUUCCCUCCUACAACCUGGAAGAAUUCUUAACACUAUUUGCAUCACCCCUGCCAAACUCCAUUCUCUUCAUAGCAACUGAGUAAAGCUGACCAUAUAUCAUUCAAUGAAGAAUUCCCUCGAAGCUUCCGAACAAUUUUUCCUCCACUUAGAAAAGUGGACCCUUUCCACCUGCAUGGGUUACUUUAUCAUCCUCCCUUUGGGGAGAAAAGGAGCAGAAAAGCAAUUCUUUCCUGUGUAGUAGUUUUGCCUUCAUCGUCUAGCCAGACAGUUUUGGCAGAUUACAUUUAAAGCUCACAUUUCCAUAGAGAAAGUACAAAUCUUAGAGUCCCAGGAAGCAAGCAGAAACCACUGGCACUUUUGAAGCGUUCUGUAGGAUUUUAAUGAAUCACUUUUAUUCUUCAAUUGCUUAAAUUCCUCUGAGGAGCUCUGAGACAGAGAGUUGCAAGUGCAGCAAGAUAAUCGAAGGAGAGAUUAUUUUCUGUUGUAUUCUCAGAGAUAUAAGGAAGAAGUAUUUUUUUCCUUCUCCAUGUCAAGACAAUAGUCAAGCUUGAGUCCCAAGUCUGAUCUUCUCUACAAAAAGUAAUUCAUGACUUUGAUGUUCAGGGCGAGAAUAGAUGAUGUGAAGCCACCCCCCCC